rnacentral:rRNA from 1 species
CACUGAAUGAGAUUUUAACACGAAGUGAGUGGCGGACGGGUGAGUAACACGUGGGUAACCUGCCCAGAAGCAGGGGAUAACACCUGGAAACAGAUGCUAAUACCGUAUAACAGAGAAAACCGCCUGGUUUUCUUUUAAAAGAUGGCUCUGCUAUCACUUCUGGAUGGACCCGCGGCGCAUUAGCUAGUUGGUGAGGUAACGGCUCACCAAGGCGAUGAUGCGUAGCCGACCUGAGAGGGUAAUCGGCCACAUUGGGACUGAGACACGGCCCAGACUCCUACGGGAGGCAGCAGUAGGGAAUCUUCCACAAUGGACGCAAGUCUGAUGGAGCAACGCCGCGUGAGUGAAGAAGGGUUUCGGCUCGUAAAGCUCUGUUGUUAAAGAAGAACGUGGGUGAGAGUAACUGUUCACCCAGUGACGGUAUUUAACCAGAAAGCCACGGCUAACUACGUGCCAGCAGCCGCGGUAAUACGUAGGUGGCAAGCGUUAUCCGGAUUUAUUGGGCGUAAAGCGAGCGCAGGCGGUCUUUUAAGUCUAAUGUGAAAGCCUUCGGCUCAACCGAAGAAGUGCAUUGGAAACUGGGAGACUUGAGUGCAGAAGAGGACAGUGGAACUCCAUGUGUAGCGGUGAAAUGCGUAGAUAUAUGGAAGAACACCAGUGGCGAAGGCGGCUGUCUGGUCUGUAACUGACGCUGAGGCUCGAAAGCAUGGGUAGCGAACAGGAUUAGAUACCCUGGUAGUCCAUGCCGUAAACGAUGAUUACUAAGUGUUGGAGGGUUUCCGCCCUUCAGUGCUGCAGCUAACGCAUUAAGUAAUCCGCCUGGGGAGUACGACCGCAAGGUUGAAACUCAAAAGAAUUGACGGGGGCCCGCACAAGCGGUGGAGCAUGUGGUUUAAUUCGAAGCUACGCGAAGAACCUUACCAGGUCUUGACAUCUUCUGCCAACCUAAGAGAUUAGGCGUUCCCUUCGGGGACAGAAUGACAGGUGGUGCAUGGUUGUCGUCAGCUCGUGUCGUGAGAUGUUGGGUUAAGUCCCGCAACGAGCGCAACCCUUAUUACUAGUUGCCAGCAUUCAGUUGGGCACUCUAGUGAGACUGCCGGUGACAAACCGGAGGAAGGUGGGGACGACGUCAAAUCAUCAUGCCCCUUAUGACCUGGGCUACACACGUGCUACAAUGGAUGGUACAACGAGUCGCGAAACCGCGAGGUUUAGCUAAUCUCUUAAAACCAUUCUCAGUUCGGACUGUAGGCUGCAACUCGCCUACACGAAGUCGGAAUCGCUAGUAAUCGCGGAUCAGCAUGCCGCGGUGAAUACGUUCCCGGGCCUUGUACACACCGCCCGUCACACCAUGAGAG